rnacentral:rRNA from 1 species
GAUGAACGCUAGCGGCAGGCUUAAUACAUGCAAGUCGAGGGGCAGCGCAGUGUAGCAAUACAAUCGCUGGCGACCGGCAAACGGGUGCGUAACACGUACGCAACCUUCCCGUUACUGUGGCAUAGCCCAGGGAAACUUGGAUUAAUACCACAUAUUAUAUUGAGGGGGCAUCCCUUUGAUAUCAAAGCUUCGGCGGUAACGGAUGGGCGUGCGGUUGAUUAGGUAGAUGGCGGGGUAACGGCCCACCAAGCCUACGAUCAAUAGCUGAUGUGAGAGCAUGAUCAGCCACACGGGCACUGAGACACGGGCCCGACUCCUACGGGAGGCAGCAGUAAGGAAUAUUGGGCAAUGGGCGAAAGUCUGACCCAGCCAUGCCGCGUGAAGGAUUAAGGUCCUCUGGAUUGUAAACUUCUUUUCUCUGGGGCGAAAACCAGCUAUUCUUAGCUAUUUGACAGUACCAGAGGAAUAAGCACCGGCUAACUCCGUGCCAGCCGCCGCCGUAAGAC